rnacentral:rRNA from 1 species
UGGGGAAUAUUGCACAAUGGAGGGAACUCUGAUGCAGCGACGCCGCGUGAACGAAGAAGGCUUUCGAGUCGUAAAGUUCUUUUAUAUGGGAAGAUAAUGACGGUACCAUAAGAAAAAGCCCCGGCUAACUACGUGCCAGCAGCCGCGGUAAUACGUAGGGGGCUAGCGUUGUCCGGAAUCACUGGGCGUAAAGGGUUCGCAGGCGGAAAUGCAAGUCAGGUGUAAAAGGCAGUAGCUUAACUACUGUAAGCAUUUGAAACUGCAUAUCUUGAGAGGGAUAGAGGUAAGUGGAAUUUUUAGUGUAGCGGUGAAAUGCGUAGAUAUUAAAAAGAAUACCGGUGGCGAAGGCGACUUACUGGGCUCAUUCUGACGCUGAGGAACGAAAGCGUGGGUAGCAAACAGG